rnacentral:rRNA from 1 species
UACGUAGGGUGCGAGCGUUUGUCCGGAAUUAUUGGGCGUAAAGAGCUCGUAGGCGGUGUGUCGCGUCGGUCGUGAAAACUUGGGGCUUAACCCCGAGCUUGCGGUCGAUACGGGCAUCACUGGAGUUCGGCAGGGGAGACUGGAAUUCCUGGUGUAGCGGUGAAAUGCGCAGAUAUCAGGAGGAACACCGAUGGCGAAGGCAGGUCUCUGGGCAUUAACUGACGCUGAGGAGCGAAAGCAUGGGGAGCGAACAGG